rnacentral:lncRNA from 1 species
CCUACACCACAGCUCACGGCAACACCGGCAACACCGGGUCCUUAACCCCCUGGGCGAGGCAAGGGAUGGAACUCACAACCUCAUGGCUCCUAGUCGGAUUUGUUAACCACUGAACCACGAUGGGAACUCCCGAAUAAGUGGUUUUUACAUAUCUUUAAACCUAGGGUCUGUUCCUCUGGGACUCUGAUUCACAGAGAUUGACAUCUGUCCUGUGGUAUCUGAUAAGUUAACUAUCUGGUUUGUUCCUUGUGGAAACUUACAAUAUCCUACAAAUAAGUCCCUAUUUAUCAGACUUGUAACUCUCCACACGCUGAAAGGACAAAUAUGUGAUUUGAUUAAAUUGUUACUUGAUUCAAUGGCAAGUCAAGUUCUUUAUUUCCUUGUGUUAAGGGUGGAGUUGCAGACAGAAAGUGGAACCCGACCAGAAUAAGAGGUGUUCAGUUUAAAACAAUGAUGAAACAUGCAUUUUAAUAAAGGGAUAUAACCUAAGCCAAAGAAUAGGGGUUUGUGUUAGUUUGAUAUUAGAAAAACAAUGGUCUGGAUGUAAUAAAUACAAUUAGUUGGUGAACAUAAACUAUUGAACAAAUAAAAUUAAGCAAUGUGUCUGCUCAGAGAAUCACAAUACUUUCCAGUUCUUCCUGGAUUAGCGUGAUUAUUUCUGAAGCUCCUUUCCACAAAAAAAGAAACUUCCUUGCCUUUCUCUAGAUUUUCUGUUUGUUUUUGUUUGUCUUUUUCUUUUUGGCCACCCUCGGGGCAUAUGGUGUUCCUAAGCCAGGGGUCAGAACCCAGACAGUUGCAACCUAUGCACAGCUAUGACAAUGCAGUAUCCUUAACCCACUGGCCAGAAAGGUGAUCAAACCUGUGUCCAGUACUCCAGAGGUGCAGCCAAUCCCUUUGUGACACAGAGGGACUCCAGUCUUUCUCCUGUUUUCUUUUUAAAAAUUGUUGCUUUUAUUUGCUGCAAUGACCACACCAUCCAGUUCCCUAAAUCACCAAACAUCUAACAUAAAGAAUGGAGACGCUCCUACCCAAACCAAACUCAACCAGACUUUCCACAAUGAAUCAUGUACCAGUGACUAAAGUCCAGGUAUCACAUUGGAUGUAUAAUUUCUUCCAUUGCAUAUGUUUGCAGUGUGGCUAUAAGACCUGAGAAUCAAUUCUGUUUCUAUAAUGUCUUAUACUAAGGACAUUACCUUUGAGUCCUAUACUGUAGUAGAUCCGUUGCACUUCAGUUAAUACUACGUUUAGUCUGCAUUUCUUGAAUACGUGAGCUGAAGGUAAGGAGGUGACCAUAAGAAUGAAAAGAAAGGUGAAUGUCUUGGUUUAAGAAAUCUGUAGAGGAAAAUUCAAAUCCAGAUAAUAAAGCAUUCUUUGCACUUCAAGAUAUGCAUGUUUUCUUCUUCAUGUUCUUUACUCUUAUUUUAUUUUUUUAAUUUGUUUGCUUUUUAGGGCCGCACCCAUGGCAUACAGAAAUUCCCAAGCUAGGGGUCAAAUCGGAGCUAUAGCUGCCGACGUACGCCACAGCCAAGGCAACUUGGCAUCUGAACUGUGUCUUUUCCCUAUGCCACAGCUCAUGGCAACACCGGAUCCCCAACCCACUGAGUGAGGCCAGGGAUCGAACCCACAUCCUCAUGGAUACUUGUCAGAUUUGUUUCCACUGUGCCACAACAGGAACUCCCUACUCUUAUUUUAUACCCUGUGGUACUUCCAAACUUCAUAGUUGAUUCCAUAACAAACCUCAAUACCUCCGAUCCUUCUCUCAACUCUAAUUCAGGGAGCACCAUGAGGACAGGGGUGUUCAUCCAUGGCAUUCCCUGUACCAUCUGAGGCUAGUAUUUCCCCCAAACUCAACAGACACGAAGCAUGGUAGACACACAUUAGGAAUUAUUUCAAUGGUCCCAUCUUUCUCCCCUCCUCCUUCCACACUCUUCCCAUAAACACAUACUCCUCUCAUCACCAUUUGCUACUAAACUAGUUCCUCUUCUUAAACAUCGGUUCUCUAGAAAUGAUUCCCCACUUAUUCCAGCCACCCAAGUAAUAUUUUUAGCCUUCUUGGGGUAGGAGCUUCCAUUUCUGUGUCUUUACCCAUGGUGCUCCCACUAAUGGGAAUUCUGUCUUCUUUCCUCCUGAUUCUAUAAAACCUACUCAUCUUCCCUCAUGUCCCAUGAAGCCAUCACCUUCUUUUCGAGGUCACAGGGAUUUGUCCUUUCUAAAACUGAUGCUUUAAUUCUCCAGAGUUCUUCACAAUAUUUUACUCAAUUACCCUCCAUUUAUUCAUGGAUUCUUAUUUCUCUGCCUAAAAUGUCAUCUUUUGGGGGCAGGAUUCAUGCUGUUUAUUUCUUGAUAGCUUGUCCAAACAAACACAAGCUCUCCAUAAGUAUCUGUAGGCUGAUUAAUAACCAAAGGAAAAUAUUAUCAGCAGCCAUGUGUUUAAGAACAUUUUAUGGGAGGAAAAGAUGAAAAAGGAUACAUCUAGGCUUCUCUGAAAUAUGCAGAAGAAAUCCACAUUCUACACAUACCGACAGGUAUACAAUCUUUUUUUAAUCGAAGUAUAGUGGAUUUACAAUAUUGUGUUAGUUUCUGGUGUACAGCUAAGUGAUUCAGUUUGCACACACUUUUUCAUAUUUUUCUCCAUUGGGGUUUAUUCAAGAUGCUGAAUAUAGUUCCCUGCGCUAUACAGUAGGGACCUUGUUAUCUAUUUUAUAAAUAGUACUUUGCAUUUGCUAAUCCCAAACUCCUAAUUUUUUUUCUCCUCCAUGCUGGAAUCUUAACUAAUUUAUAAUAAAACAUUAACUGAGCUUUUUAAGUCUUGUUUAAAUCCAUCUACUAAUUGCAAGGCACUGUGACCGACCUUCUGUUUUGUUUGUUGCCAUGUGAAAAAGACAGUCCUGUUGUGAGAACAUCACAGACCCUUAUUCUCAAAAGUCAAACAGAAAAAUAUGCUUCUGAUGUUGUUAUCAUUCCCCAUAAGAGCCAUGGUGGGAGGAAGAAUGGCUCUCAUUCUCUCUGCCUGCUUACACAAGGGCUAUUUACCAUUUUGCUAGGUCUUUCAUCAGUGCCAAGUGCUCCACAAUAUCACUUUUAUUGGUCACUCACCACCGGCACCAUGUGAUACCCAGGAAUAUUAUUGCCCCCUGUUGAACAGCGCGAAUGCCCUCAUGAGACACAGAGAAAUCCUGUGAGGGACUUGCCCUCCCUAAGAUAAACAGUGGGAAUUAGAGCUUGAACUCAAAGCUCUGGUGUUCUGCUCAGAGUCCUGGGAAAAUCUACAAAGGUCUUCCUUGAGUAAAGCUAGGGAACAUGUGCCACCAGCUCAUCAUUUCAGGCUUAUUCUCCAGCAGUACCGAAAAAUCAACUUGAUCCAACAGAUAUUUAUUGGGUGCCUAGAAAUGCCAGACACAGUGCCAGAUGUGGGAGACAGAGCAGAGAAUCUGACAGACCCAGCCUCACAGAGCAGAGAGUCUAGGCAGCAGUUUAUAAAGGCGGAACCUGGGAGUUCCCACUGUAGCUCAGUGGGUUAAGUACCUGACAAGGUGUCUGUGAGGAUGAGGGUUUGAUCCCUAGCCUCACUCAGUGGGUUAAGGAUCCAGCAUUGCGGUGAGCUGUGGGAUAGGUCAAAAAUGUGGCUUGGAUCUGGCAUUGCUGUGGGUGGCUGAGGCAUAGGCUAGCAGCUGCAGCUCCGAUUUGACCCCCUAGCCUGGGAAAUUCCAUAUGCCUCAGGUGCAGCCCAAAGGGGAAAAAAAAAAAAGAAAAAAGAAAAAGGAGGAAGAGAAUCCUUUGGGGUAUGGCUAGAAAAAUAUUAGAAUGUCUUUAGUUCUUUUAUAUUACCAUUUAAGGGAUUUUUACAAUUUUAUUUGUGGGUGUUUAUGAUACACUAAUAGACAGUAUGCUUAUAUUGGGGGGAAUCUAUGUUCAAAAUAUUUGCACAGAUAUGGAUGGGCAAGUGGAACAUUUGAAAACCCCUGGAUGGCAGGACUAUUUGGACUUUCCUGAACAUGCUGUGAUGUUCACAUAUUAAAGUCUUUCUACCUGCUAUUUUCUCUAAAAUGUACCUCCUCUCUUGUUUAGUUUGUUUUUGUUUUGCUGCCCCUGUCGCAUGCAAAAGUUCCCAGGCGAGGUUUCAAACCUGUGCCACAGUAGCGACAACGCCUGCUCCUUAAAACCUGAUGAGCUACCAGUAAACUCCAUCUCACCAUUCUCCUUCCUGAGUGAACUCUUCCCAAGCUCAGCUGUCGCUUGCUUAAGGAAGUCUUCCUUGUGCCCCCCCCCCUUCCCCAGGCAGAGUCUGUCACUUCUCUCUGGUGGCCUCCAUUGUACCUUAGAUGUCCCUCGCCCACAGGAACUACCAUGCUGCACUGUAACUGUCUGUCCACAUUCCUGUCUCUGGCACUGACUGCCUGGAACCUCUGGUCUGUGAGCUCCUUGACGACAGGGGUCCUGUGCUUCACCUUUGGUUCUCAAGGGUUAGCACUGGCACUUGGCCUAUAAAGGACUCUCAUAGUGCAUGUCAGAAAUUUAUUCACAAGUUUUUCUUUUUUAUAUAAUUUCAUUGGAGUACAGUUGAUUUUACAAUGUUGUGUUAGCUUCAGGUAUAUAGCAAAGUGACUCAGUUAUACAUACACAUAAAUAUAUUCGUUUCAGAUUAUUUCACCAUAUAGGUUAUUGCAGAAUAUUGAGUAGAGUUCCCUGUGCUAUACUGUAGGUCCCUGUUGAUUAUCAAUUUUUUAUUCAGUAGUAUGUAUAUGCUAAUCAAAAUUCCUAAUUUAUCUCCCACCGCAACAACUCUUCCUUCCUUCCUCCUUCCCUUUUCCCUCUCUGCCUUUCUUUUUUUGGCUGCACCUGCAGCAUGCAGAAGUUCCUGGGGUAGGGAUUGAACCCAUGCCACAGCAGCGACAACGCCAAGUCUUUACCCCCUCGGCCACCAGAGAAGUCCAACUUUUUCUUUUUAAUUGCAAUUGACUUAAAACGGAAGUUUCAUGUGGGCAAUCAGGGUGCAUUUUACUUCCUCCUUUCUCCCCCUGUGGAGAAGGAGAGGUGCUGGGGAGGCAGGGAGGUGUGUUCAUACUCAAGGUAUUAGACUACAACCCCUAACUCCCCAGUUAAGUAGAAAAUGUAGAGAGGGGCUAUGAGAAAACAAUACAUUUAAAAUUUCCCAGGAGUUCCUGUCCUGGCUCAGUGGUUCCGAAUCUGACUAGGAACCAUGAGGUUGUGGGUUUGGCCCCUGGCCUUGCUCAUACAGUUUUCUAUGGCCUUUGGCAAGACGGCAUAGGGAACAUCCACUAGUCUAUACUUGCAUAUACAUUAUUGUCAUCUGUUACAUCAGUGCAACAGAUAUUACACGCAUGAUGGGGAAAGAUAAUUAGAAAACAAAUGACUCAGGAUUCUAUGUGGCUAAUGAAGUCAAGACCUUAAUCAAAACUUUCCGAACAUUUCUAAAUUUGGUUUCCUACUAUAAAUUAUGUCUUUUAAAAUGGAAACGAUCAUAGGCAAUACUAAAGCUUCUCAAACUCAAUUUAUAAAUUUGUCAAACAUUCAUUUCUCAUUUGAAAGAAUGUCACCGACUUCUAGCAAAGUGUUCCUUAUAUAACCAUAUACAAACCACACACACACACACACAUACACUUCUUCUCUCUUAGAUGCACAUCAAAGGUUUGCAAAUUUUGUCUAUAAAGGACCAGAUGGAAAUACCUUUGGCUUUGGAGACCAUAUAAUCUUGGUUGCAACUAAUUCUGCUGUGGUAGCACAAAAGCAGUCAUAGACAGUAUGUAAAUGACUGGGUGUGGCUGUGUUCCCAAAAAACUUUACUUAUAAAAAAUAAGCAGUGGGCCAGAUGUGGCCCACCAACUGUAGUUUACACCUACUCCCCACACACAUGGUUGAUUUCCAUAGGUAAUAUAAAAAUUCAUGUUUACACUCAUUUCAUAAUUGAAAAGGUGUUUCCAGAAUGUUAAUUCUGAGCCCUGCUGACCUAUUUACUAAUAUUAACAGCAAUAAUAACAACUAACAAUGAAUGUUCCCUACAUGCCAGGCCUUAUUCUAAGAACUUUCCUCGCAUGCAACCAGAAGUGCCCUAUUUAUUUCUGCCAUUUUUAGAAAAGGAAACAGAACUUUAAAC